rnacentral:rRNA from 1 species
UACGGGGGGGGCAAGCGUUGUUCGGAAUUACUGGGCGUAAAGGGCUCGUAGGCGGCCAACUAAGUCAGACGUGAAAUCCCUCGGCUUAACCGGGGAACUGCGUCUGAUACUGGAUGGCUUGAGUUUGGGAGAGGGAUGCGGAAUUCCAGGUGUAGCGGUGAAAUGCGUAGAUAUCUGGAGGAACACCCGUAGCGAAGGCGGCACUCUGGGCCGAUACUGACACUGAGGAGCGAAAGCGUGGGGAGCAAACAGG